GAUGAACGCUGGCGGCGUGCCUAAUACAUGCAAGUCGAGCGAACAGACGAGGAGCUUGCUCCUCUGACGUUAGCGGCGGACGGGUGAGUAACACGUGGAUAACCUACCUAUAAGACUGGGAUAACUUCGGGAAACCGGAGCUAAUACCGGAUAAUAUAUUGAACCGCAUGGUUCAAUAGUGAAAGACGGUUUUGCUGUCACUUAUAGAUGGAUCCGCGCCGCAUUAGCUAGUUGGUAAGGUAACGGCUUACCAAGGCAACGAUGCGUAGCUGACCUGAGAGGGUGAUCGGCCACACUGGAACUGAGACACGGUCCAGACUCCUACGGGAGGCAGCAGUAGGGUAUCUUCCGCAAUGGGCGAAAGCCUGACGGAGCAACGCCGCGUGAGUGAUGAAGGUCUUCGGAUCGUAAAACUCUGUUAUUAGGGAAGAACAAAUGUGUAAGUAACUAUGCACGUCUUGACGGUACCUAAUCAGAAAGCCACGGCUAACUACGUG
rnacentral:rRNA from 1 species